rnacentral:rRNA from 1 species
UUAGGUGACUAUUGCGGCGGGGUUCCACCUCUUCCCAUUCCGAACAGAGAAGUUAAGACCGCCAGCGCCGAUGGUA